rnacentral:rRNA from 1 species
GAUGAACGCUGGCGGCAUGCCUAAUACAUGCAAGUCGAACGAGAUGGUUUACCAUCUAGUGGCGAACGGGUGAGUAAUACAUAGAUAACUUACUCUUAAGACGAGGAUAACAGUUGGAAACGACUGCUAAAACUGGAUAGGAUAUUUUGACGCAUGUCUUAAUAUUUAAAAGUGCCUUCAAGCACUACUUAAGAAGAGGUCUAUGUCGCAUUAGCUAGUUGGUGGGGUAAAAGCCUACCAAGGCAACGAUGCGUAGCUGUGCUGAGAGGCAGAACAGCCACACUGGGACUGAGACACGGCCCAGACUCCUACGGGAGGCAGCAGUAGGGAAUUUUCGGCAAUGGGGGGAACCCUGACCGAGCAAUGCCGCGUGAAUUAUGAAGGUCUUCGGAUCGUAAGAUUCUGUUAUUGGGAAAGAACAGCAUAACUAGGAAAUGAGUUAUGCUUGACGGUACCUGAUUAGAAAGCCCCGGCUAACUAUGUG